CUAAUACUCCCUCCGUUCCAAAAUAAGUGACUCAAAACUUACUCAACUUUGUACUUAACUUUGUACUAAGUACAAAGUUGAGUAAGUUUUGAGUCACUUAUUUUGGGACGGAGGGAGUACUAC
rnacentral:pre_miRNA from 1 species